rnacentral:rRNA from 1 species
UACGUAGGGUGCAAGCGUUAAUCGGAAUUACUGGGCGUAAAGCGUGCGCAGGCGGUUAUGUAAGACAGAUGUGAAAUGCCCGGGCUUAACCUGGGAACUGCAUUUGUGACUGCAUGGCUAGAGUUUGGCAGAGGGGGGUAGAAUUCCACGUGUAGCAGUGAAAUGCGUAGAUAUGUGGAGGAACACCGAUGGCGAAGGCAGCCCCCUGGGUCAAGACUGACGCUCAUGCACGAAAGCGUGGGGAGCAAACAGGGAUUACGAA